GACUUUGCGCUUGAAGCUCGGGCUAUG
rnacentral:piRNA from 1 species